rnacentral:tRNA from 1 species
GUUUCUGUAGUGUAGUGGUUAUCACGUUUGCUUCACAUGCAAAAGGUCACUGGUUUGAAACCAGACAGAAACA